rnacentral:rRNA from 1 species
CUCGCCGUAAUGCUCAGUAACACGCGGAUAACCUGCCCUUGGGUCCGGGAUAACCCCGGGAAACUGGGACUAAUACCGGAUAGAUCAAAGAUACUGGAAUGUUCUCUGGUCCAAAACUCCGGUGCCCAAGGAUGGGUCUGCGGCCUAUCAGGUUGUAGUGGGUGUAACGUACCUACUAGCCGACGACGGGUAAGGGUUGUGAGAGCAAGAUCCCUGAGAUGGAUUCUGAGACAUGAAUCCAGGCCCUACGGGGUGCAGCAGGCGCGAAACCUUUACACUGCGGGAAACCGCGAUAAGGGGACCCCGAGUGCCAGCACCUAGCUGGCUGUCCCGCUGUCUAAAUAACAGUGGUUACAAGGGCCGGGCAAGACCGGUGCCAGCCGCCGCGGUAACACCGGCGGCCCGAGUGGUAGCCGCUAUUAUUGGGUUUAAAGGGCCCGUAGCCGGCCUAUUAAGUCUCUUGGGAAAUCUGGCGGCUUAAUCGUCAGGCGCCAAGAGAUACUGGUAGGCUUGGGACCGGGAGAGGUGGGAGGUACUCCAGGGGUAGGGGUGAAAUCUCGUAAUCCUUGGGGGACCACCGAUGGCGAAGGCAUCCCACCAGAACGGGUCCGACGGUGAGGGACGAAAGCUGGGGGCACGAACCGGAUUAGAUACCCGGGUAGUCCCAGCUGUAAACGAUGCUCGCUAGGUGUCAGGUGCGGUGCGACCGCAUCUGGUGCCGCAGUGAACUUGAAGCGAGUCACCUGGGNGUAAGUCGCGAGGA